CCACGACACAUCUGAUCAAACACGACACGGUAAAACGUAAUAUGUUACAUACAUAUCAGUAAAUACAAUUUAUGAGUUUUUUUUUUUUCAACUUUGUCA